CAGUAGCCGCGGGAAUACGGAGGGUGCAAGCGUUAAUCGGAAUUACUGGGCGUAAAGCGCACGCAGGCGGUUUGUUAAGUCAGAUGUGAAAUCCCCGGGCUCAACCUGGGAACUGCAUUUGAAACUGGCAAGCUAGAGUCUCGUAGAGGGGGGUAGAAUUCCAGGUGUAGCGGUGAAAUGCGUAGAGAUCUGGAGGAAUACCGGUGGCGAAGGCGGCCCCCUGGACGAAGACUGACGCUCAGGUGCGAAAGCGUGGGGAGCAAACAGGAUUAGAUACCCGCGUAGUCCCUGUCUCUUAUAA
rnacentral:rRNA from 1 species